ACGAACGCUGGCGGCGUGCUUCACACAUGCAAGUCGAACGGAAAGGCCCUGCUUUUGUGGGGUGCUCGAGUGGCGAACGGGUGAGUAACACGUGAGUAACCUGCCCUUGACUUUGGGAUAACUUCAGGAAACUGGGGCUAAUACCGGAUAGGAGCUCCUGCUGCAUGGUGGGGGUUGGAAAGUUUCGGCGGUUGGGGAUGGACUCGCGGCUUAUCAGCUUGUUGGUGGGGUAGUGGCUUACCAAGGCUUUGACGGGUAGCCGGCCUGAGAGGGUGACCGGCCACAUUGGGACUGAGAUACAGCCCAGACUCCUACGGGAGGCAGCAGGGGGGAAUAUUGCACAAUGGGCGGAAGCCUGAUGCAGCAACGCCGCGUGCGGGAUGACGGCCUUCGGGUUGUAAACCGCUUUCGCCUGUGACGAAGCGUGAGUGACGGUAAUGGGUAAAGAAGCACCGGCUAACUACGU
rnacentral:rRNA from 1 species